AAUAGAUACCCGGGUAGUCCACGCCGUAAACGUUGGGCGCUAGAUGUGGGGACCAUUCCACGGUUUCCGUGUCGCAGCUAACGCAUUAAGCGCCCCGCCUGGGGAGUACGGCCGCAAGGCUAAAACUCAAAGGAAUUGACGGGGGCCCGCACAAGCGGCGGAGCAUGCGGAUUAAUUCGAUGCAACGCGAAGAACCUUACCAAGGCUUGACAUAUACGAGAAUGCUCUAGAAAUAGAGAACUCUUUGGACACUCGUAUACAGGUGGUGCAUGGUUGUCGUCAGCUCGUGUCGUGAGAUGUUGGGUUAAGUCCCGCAACGAGCGCAACCCUCGUUCUAUGUUGCCAGCGGUUCGGCCGGGAACUCAUAGGAGACUGCCGGGGUCAACUCGGAGGAAGGUGGGGAUGACGUCAAAUCAUCAUGCCCCUUAUGUCUUGGGCUUCACGCAUGCUACAAUGGCCAGUACAAAGGGCUGCAAUACCGCAAGGUGGAGCGAAUCCCAAAAAGCCGGUCUCAGUUCGGAUUGAGGU
rnacentral:rRNA from 1 species